CCGACACUGCGGUGGUCCAGGAUCGUUCUGCGCAGAUACUGCAGAGCUGACGCAUUCUUUGCCUGGCAUCUCAGCUUGCUAGGUGUCUCAUCUUCGCUCUGCGCUCGUGGCCUCCUCCAAGGCCUCCAGUCUCCUUUAAGAAAACUCAAGACCUGGGAAGCUACGAUGCGAGCUUGAUGCCGCUACCCUAGCAGGCUAUGGACUUCCUGAGGGUCCUCGGACUGUUGACACCCAUUCCGAUCUGCAUCCUUCCAAGCUGAUAAGCCCGGGACCCUAGGGCGGGGUGCCCAGACUCAUGUGUGACGCCUUGCAGUGAAACCCCAUUCCCAGUGUGGUUGCUUCUUUGCUGGGCUUUGGCCCAUUUGAUACCACGAAGGAUGACGAUGCUAGUUAUGCAGCAGCCAACACACCUCCCCCCAACUCUCCGCUGUCACUGGUGGGCCCCACUGUCCAGGAAGCAGGUGUCCGGAACUGACAUCUUGGAGCAGAGGGGCCAUGAGAGGUGUGUGUAUCCUGCCAGAAAGCAGCUGGACCACGACGCUCCCAAGAUGAACCCACUGUAUACAGAGGCAUCAUGGGAGUUGUUAUGUCAGGAGCAUUCUAGACCCACGUGUACUUGAGCGUGGAAAGACAGAAGAUAGCGCAGAGACUGGGGCACUGAUCUGCUCACCAUGAUCGCCUGCACGGGUCUCAUCCAGGUAAGCUACCGCCAGGUGACUGGGUCAGAAUGCACAUUCUGAAAUGAAAAUUAUAAGCUGUUGCUUGGCCUCAGUUCCUGCCUUAGGCUACAGUGGCGGUGUCCACGGCUGCCAUUCAACGUGCUCUCAGACCCAGAUCGGCUCACCACUGAGGAGAACCUUUUCACUUUGGUGGGUAUGCAGAGGGAAGGGUCUCGACUCCAGAGACCUGGAGUCCAAAGUUUGUUUUUUUUUAUUUACCAGUAAUUUAUUUAUUUUUUUUAUUAUUAGUUAUGAGUCCAAAGUUUAAUACCAUUCAAGCUACUGCUGUCUGUCUGCUUAGAGCCACAGCAUGCAAUGUGGCACCAAGGCAUCCUUGUCCUCACAGUUUCACACUGUGGGAACAGGCAUCCUUGUUCUUACAGAUUAGCGCGAGGGAAACCAGAAAUAUUAAACACGCAGGGUUGUCUCUCCAAAGGGAGAGGCACAUACCCUGUUUUCCUCCCGGAAGGCUGGGAGCGGAGGUGUUUGAUAUCCUGGCUACCUCUGUGCAAUCUGUAGGCCAUGUCCUUAAGAUGUAGCUGUCAGUCGGUAGUGGAGCCGGAGCCGUCAGUCAGUAGAUUGGGGUUGUGGCAUGCGCCUUUAACUCCAUUUAAUUCCAGCACUCUAGUGGUUUGGUACAGCAGCAGCAGCAGCGGUUGCAGUGGCCCGGGGAAGUCCUGAAGACCAGCUUUCAUCCCAGCACUCAGGCAGCAAAGGCGGGUGGAUCUCUGAGUUCGAGGCCGGCCUGGUCUACAGAGUGAGUCCAGGACAGCCAGGGCUACAACAGAGAAAACCUCUCUAUUGAAAAAUAAAUAAAUUAUAAAAAAAAAAAGGUGUCAUGUGUCCUGUGUACUUUACAAAGAAUGUUGAUGCUUAAGCUUUUUUGUGCACACAAGAAAAUUGUUUAACUGGUGUCAGACUCCUGAAGUUUGAACCAGCACUUAGCCGGGCGUGGUGGCGCACGCCUGUAAUCCCAGCCCUCGGGAGGCAGAGGCAGGUGGAUCUCUGAGUUAGAGGCCAGCCUGGUCUACAGAGUGAGUCCAGGACAGCCAGGAUUACACAGAGAAACCCCGUCUCAAAAAUGUAAAAUAAAUUAAAAUAAAGUUUGAACCAACAGUGUUUACUGAGUCGUGUUGAAACAGAUUACCUUUUUGCUUCUCUUUGAUCAUUAUUCUACUGUGGUGUCAGCAGAGACCCCUCCAGCAGGUGGCCAACGUGAGAGUCUCAAGCCCGAGAAGGUAAGAAUUUAAAAAAAAAAUAGAAUCAGGAGUAGAAGUUUGGACCUCUCACCCAGGAGAUCACAAAGGUAAGUAAGAGAGUAAAAUAAGCUUGGGUUCUUCUCAAUCCUCUGAGACGAAGCAUUUUAUAUUUUACUGACAUGUCUGUUAAGCUCCAAGGGAGCGAAAUACUCAGAGCAAGGCUCUGAAGCUUGGUACAAGAGUCUGUAAAAUUCAGUCCUUGGUUUCCUAAACCAGAAACUAUUGAUGUUAAAAACUGGGAAUGCAGCCAGGUGGUGGUGUCUAUAGAGAAAGCCCCAGGAUAGCCAGGGCUGUGUAGAGAAAUCCUGUCUCGAAACAAACAUGCAAACAAAAAAAAAAAAAAAAAAAAAAAAAAAUGGAAAUGCAUAGGAGCUAAAGAAAAGGGGCCCAUGAAAGAGGAGAUAAAAUCCCUAUCAAUUAUUUUGCAAGCUGGAGCACAGUAGUGCAUGUAAUUCUCUGAGGAGGAUCAUUGAAUAAAACCUCUCUCUCUCUCUCUCUCUGCAGGCCAAGUGGACUCCGCUGCUGAUUUGGUCCCCCAGCCAGGCUCAGUCAGGGCUUUGGAGCUGGAACUCAGAGUGUCCAUGCAAUGAUGUGCUCACUGUCUUGCAAAAUAAGGCAUUUUAUCUUGUCUUUCACAUACAAAAUGGAGGCUUUCUCACUUCAG